UCUGACCUGGACGGCGGCCAGAGGAGGACAAGAGACUUCUACGGAGUGGAAAGAUGAGUUGGGUGACAUCUGAGACGCAGCGGCAGAUCCGCAGGCAGCCAGGCUCCGCGGCUAUGGUGGCGGCCUGGGUGGUGUCGGUGCUGCCGGGGGUGCUGAGAGGUACCGGUGGAGCGCCUCCCGAGCUGCGGCUACCCUAGGUAGCGGGCUCCACCCAGGAUACCACAUUGCAUUUAACUAUCAUGUCUUCUUAAGUUCUUUUUGGCUGUGACAGACUCUCAAAUUUUCCUUGAUUUUGAUUACCUUGACAGUUUUGAGGAGUGUUGGUCAGAUAUUUAUUAGGAUUUCCUUGUACUGGAAUCUGUCUGAUGUUUUUCUCAAAAUUAGACUGGAGUUACGGGGUUUUUUUGAGAAGAAGACCGCAGAGGGUGGUGGUGCUCCCUGCCUUAAUGCCAGUUGAUAUGGUGGAAGUCAUCAAAAAGUUCACGAGAGAUCAUUUCAAACUCUGGUGAAAAAGGAAGAAUUGACCAUUGAAAGGGUCAAUAUUUUGUAAUAAUUUUGGGAGAAGGGAAUCAAUUUGGGAGGAAAGCUGUGGCCUUAAACACUGAAGGAGAUGAGAGGAUUCUUUGUGACACUGAGACCUGCAAACUACAGCUGUGACACUGAGGUCUUCUACAAACUGCAGUGGAGGAAAUGCCAGUGAAUGUGGCUGACCUUAUUUAAUUCCUGGGAUGAGACAGUUUUGAAUGCAGUGCUCACUGUUGCUUGAAUAGGCAACAAAAAGUGCAUCAUGCUUCCUUCUUUGGGAAUAUUAGAAGCUUGUCUCAAUGCUCAUAACAGAUCAGAAAUAAAGAUUUUGAUAGUGAAGUGACUUUAGCUGUGAGCUUUUGUGAGGAAAAUCAUUGGCUUUAUCCUCUCAGAAAUAAAGAUUUUGAUAGUGAAGUGACUUUAGCUGUGAGCUUUUGUGAGGAAAAUCAUUGGCUUUAUCCUCUUUAGACUUUGAAUGUUGGGGUUUGGCUAUAAAAGAUGGGGUUGUAAAAAUCUUACUUAGAAAUUUAUUUCCUAGUUCUGUAAAAAUGGAUAUACUGAGUGUUCUCUUAUCAUUUAAUGAUAUACUUGUGGACUGAAAGAUAUGUACUGUAUAAAUGCAGCCAGUUAUAUUAAACUAGUGUAUCUGCUUUUAUUGUGCUAGCCAUUAGACUGAAUAGAACAGACUUUAAGAUGAUUUUUUUAAAGAAGAUAUUUGAAUUCAUUUUCUUUGGUGUUGUGUUUUUAUUCGGUAAAGCAUUUUAUUAGUGGUAAUUGUGAACUGGAGCCUUUUGCUAAGCACCAGCCACAGUCAUACAUAUCCUAGGGUUAAAUACCAGAAGAAUUGCCAUAUUUUAUGUUGAAUGUUUAAUAAAUUACAAUAAAGUAUAUUUUUCUUUUAAA